rnacentral:tRNA from 1 species
AAGUGCUUAGGUAGUAUACCCAUUACCUUGGU